AUACUUAACUGGCAGGGGAGUUACCAUGAUCACAAUGGUAGUUUUCUCAGGGUGAGGUUUAGCCAUUGCACUCAGAAUAUACUGACCCCUGUGAUUUCCCCAAAUGUGAGACACUUGAUUACAUAAUUUGUGGUAGUGGGAGAUUGUAUUCAAGUUCUUUCCUG
rnacentral:snRNA from 1 species